rnacentral:rRNA from 1 species
AUGAACGCUGGCGGCGUGCUUAACACAUGCAAGUCGAACGAAGCACUUUAUUUGAUUUCCUUCGGGACUGAUUAUUUUGUGACUGAGUGGCGGACGGGUGAGUAACGCGUGGGUAACCUGCCUUGUACAGGGGGAUAACAGUUGGAAACGGCUGCUAAUACCGCAUAAGCGCACAGCAUCGCAUGAUGCAGUGUGAAAAACUCCGGUGGUAUAAGAUGGACCCGCGUUGGAUUAGCUAGUUGGUGAGGUAACGGCCCACCAAGGCGACGAUCCAUAGCCGACCUGAGAGUGUGACCGGCCACAUUGGGACUGAGACACGGCCCAAACUCCUACGGGAGGCAGCAGUGGGGAAUAUUGCACAAUGGGCGAAAGCCUGAUGCAGCGACGCCGCGUGAGCGAAGAAGUAUUUCGGUAUGUAAAGCUCUAUCAGCAGGGAAGAUAAUGACGGUACCUGACUAAGAAGCACCGGCUAAAUACGUG